AACGAACGCUGGCGGCAGGCUUAACACAUGCAAGUCGAACGCUCGACCUUCGGGUCGGGAGUGGCAGACGGGUGAGUAACGCGUGGGAACGUACCCUUCGGUUCGGAAUAACCCAGGGAAACUUGGGCUAAUACUGGAUACGUCCUGGCCUGGAGACAGGGUGGGAGAAAGGUUUACUGCCGAAGGAUCGGCCCGCGUCGGAUUAGCUAGUUGGUGGGGUAACGGCCCACCAAGGCGACGAUCCGUAGCUGGUCUGAGAGGAUGAUCAGCCACACUGGGACUGAGACACGGCCCAGACUCCUACGGGAGGCAGCAGUGGGGAAUAUUGGACAAUGGGCGAAAGCCUGAUCCAGCCAUGCCGCGUGAGUGAAGAA
rnacentral:rRNA from 1 species